GUUGAAAGCAGUCACUCUGUGGGAGGAGAGUUUGGAGCUGGUACACAGAAAGCUCUUGAGCCUGUCUCCCCAGCCCUUCCUGUGCCACCUUACUGCAGAUUUGGUUGCUUAUGGCUGGUAAGCAAUGCCAUGGACAUGCUGGACCAGCCAUGACUGAGAGGCGAUCACCACCAGCCGAGGCAGCCGCCCAGUCCCAGGGAAGCUGUAAACACUGGAGGGUCCAGGGGGACCUCAUGAGGGAGCAUGAGGGCAUCCUCCAGGACAUGCAUCAGACCCUGGCUUAGAAGGUCCUGGAUGAUGCCCAGUGGUGGACCCAAAUGUGGGCUGAGCUGGUGCAGCAGGGCCAAAACAUGU